AUCGUCCGCCUGGGGGAGUACGGCCGCAUGGUUAAAAACUCAAAUGAAUUGACGGGGGCCCGCACAAGCGGUGGAGCAUGUGGUUUAAUUCGAUGCAACGCGAAGAACCUUACCUACUCUUGACAUCCAGAGAACUUUCCAGAGAUGGAUUGGUGCCUUCGGGAACUCUGAGACAGGUGCUGCAUGGCUGUCGUCAGCUCGUGUUGUGAAAUGUUGGGUUAAGUCCCGCAACGAGCGCAACCCUUAUCCUUUGUUGCCAGCGGUUCGGCCGGGAACUCAAAGGAGACUGCCAGUGAUAAACUGGAGGAAGGUGGGGAUGACGUCAAGUCAUCAUGGCCCUUACGAGUAGGGCUACACACGUGCUACAAUGGCAUAUACAAAGAGAAGCGACCUCGCGAGAGCAAGCGGACCUCAUAAAGUAUGUCGUAGUCCGGAUUGGAGUCUGCAACUCGACUCCAUGAAGUCGGAAUCGCUAGUAAUCGUAGAUCAGAAUGCUACGGUGAAUACGUUCCCGGGCCUUGUACACACCGCCCGUCACACCAUGGGAGUGGGUUGCAAAAGAAGUAGGUAGCUUAACCUUCGGGAGGGCGCUUACCACUUUGUGAUUCAUGACUGGGGUGAAGUCGUAACAAGAAGCUUUGCCUC
rnacentral:rRNA from 1 species